UGUCUGGCUGUUUUUCAGAGCAACUUUCUUUUGUAAGGCUGAAUUUCAGAGCAAGUUUCUUCUGUACAUCACGUGUUUUAUUUUACAUUAUAUUUGUAAAUGUUUUGGCGUCAAAUAAAGAUGUAUAUAAAAAACUGAAAACAAAAUACAAAUAAUACUAGGAUGAAGUUAAUAAAUAUGGUGGCAUACCAGUGUCAAUGUCAUUAGCCACUACAUGAGCAGCACCACAGAGCUGAGCAGCGAUGGAGGAAGCUCCACAUCCGCUCCCCAGAUCCAGCACCGUCCGACCCCGACAGACCUCCGGGUGAUCCAGGACGAACCUUCAGGGGAUUCUCAGAGAUGAUCCAUCCAGUGAGACCAGUUUCUACCUGCUGAUCUUGGAUUUCUGAGGCUCUUGUUACGUCAGUAAGCCUGAAGACAUCAGAACUUAUCUGCCUCCGAAAAGAAGACCUUCUGCACGCUGUUCACUGGGACUAAACCUUCCUGUGCAGCUCCUUUUUGACACCUGCAUUGACUGAACUCCAGCUGACUAAACAACAGCCACCAAAACGUCCAUCGAACCAAACCGGAGGUAACGAUUAAGUAUUUUUGUGUAUCUUGUGUCGAUCUUGAAGUUU